rnacentral:rRNA from 1 species
GAUGAACGCUGGCGGCGUGCCUAAUACAUGCAAGUCGAGCGCACGGACGAGAAGCUUGCUUCUCUGAUGUUAGCGGCGGACGGGUGAGUAACACGUGGAUAACCUACCUAUAAGACUGGGAUAACUUCGGGAAACCGGAGCUAAUUCCGGAUAAUAUUUUGAACCGCAUGGUUCAAAAGUGAAAGACGGUCUUGCUGUCACUUAUAGAUGGAUCCGCGCUGCAUUAGCUAGUUGGUAAGGUAACGGCUUACCAAGGCAACGAUGCAUAGCCGAGCUGAGAGGGUGAUCGGCCACACUGGAACUGAGACACGGUCCAGACUCCUACGGGAGGCAGCAGUAGGGAAUCUUCCGCAAUGGGCGAAAGCCUGACGGAGCAACGCCGCGUGAGUGAUGAAGGUCUUCGGAUCGUAAAACUCUGUUAUUAGGGAAGAACAUAUGUGUAAGUAACUGUGCACAUCUUGACGGUACCUAAUCAGAAAGCCACGGCUAACUACGUG